ACGUAGGUGGCGAGCGUUAUCCGGAAUUACUGGGCGUAAAGCGCACGCAGGCGGUCUUUUGGGUCUGACGUGAAAGCUCCUGGCUUAACUGGGGGAGGUCGUUGGAAACUGGGAGGCUUGAGGCAGGGAGAGGGGGGUGGAAUUCCCGGUGUAGCGGUGGAAUGCGUAGAGAUCGGGAGGAACACCAGUGGCGAAGGCAGCACCCUGGCAUUGUCCUGACGCUGAGGCGCGAAAGCGUGGGGAGCAAACGG
rnacentral:rRNA from 1 species